GACGAACCACACGAACGUUAUUCGGAAUUACUGGGCUUAAAGGGUGCGUAGGCGGGAUGGCAAGUCGGUCGUGAAAUCCUUCGGCCCAACCGAAGGACGUCGAUCGAUACUGCUGUUCUAGAGGAUUGCAGAGGAGACUGGAAUUCCCGGUGUAGCGGUGAAAUGUGUAGAGAUCGGGAGGAACACCGGUGGCGAAGGCGGCUACCUGGACAAUUGCUGACGCUCAGGCACGAAAGCGUGGGGAGCAAAAGGG
rnacentral:rRNA from 1 species